AUGCUCUGCCCAAGCCCCCCUGAGGAAACUGUCGAGCAUCUAUUCUUCAAUUGCCCGUUCAGCCAACAUUGCUGGGACAAAGUUGGCAUACUUUGGCCAAACUCUGGGGAUAGACUAACCCUCAUACACGCUGGCAAAGAGGGCUGGCGCCGGCCAUUGUUCAUGGAUAUCUUCCUGCUGGCGGUUUGGAGUUUAUGGAAGGAGAGGAACAACCUUUUAUUCAGGGGGAUCCCACAUUCCUUUCAGACGUGGCUAGCUAGAUUUAAGGAGCUACUGGCUUUACUGGUGCACAAUUGUAAGGAGACCCUGCGUCCCUCCCUAGAGAACUACAUACAAAGCUUGUAG
rnacentral:rRNA from 1 species